AUUGAACGCUGGCGGCAUGCUUUACACAUGCAAGUCGAACGGUAACAGGCCUUCGGGUGCUGACGAGUGACGCACGGGUGAGUAAUGCAUCGGAACGUACCCAGAGGUGGGGGAUAACGCAGCGAAAGCUGUGCUAAUACCGCAUGUGAUCUGAGGAUGAAAGCGGGGGACCGAGCAGCAAUGUUUGGCCUCGCGCCUUUGGAGCGGCCGAUGUCGGAUUAGCUAGUUGGUGGGGUAAAGGCCUACCAAGGCGACGAUCCGUAGCUGGUCUGAGAGGACGACCAGCCACACUGGGACUGAGACACGGCCCAGACUCCUACGGGAGGCAGCAGUGGGGAAUUUUGGACAAUGGGCGCAAGCCUGAUCCAGCAAUGCCGCGUGCGGGAAGAAGGCCUUCGGGUUGUAAACCGCUUUUGGCAGGAACGAAACGGUGUCCGCUAAUACCGGGCGAUAAUGACGGUACCUGCAGAAUAAGCACCGGCUAACUACGUG
rnacentral:rRNA from 1 species